rnacentral:rRNA from 1 species
UACGAGGGGGGCGAGCGUUGUUCGGAAUUAUUGGGCGUAAAGGGUGCGUAGGCGGUUUGGUAAGUCUUGUGUGAAAUCUACAGGCUCAACUUGUAGUCUGCACGAGAAACUGCCGGGCUUGAGUAUGGGAGAGGUGAGUGGAAUUCCCGGUGUAGCGGUGAAAUGCGUUGAUAUCGGGAGGAACUCCGGCGGCGAAAGCGGUGCACUGGUGGAUUACUGACGCUGAGGUGCGAAAGCCAGGGGAGCAAACGGG